ensembl:miRNA
AGAAUAAUGCCAGCAGUCGGUCGUGGUGUCCCAGGGACCAGCACUGGUGUUAUUGAGA